AGUGAACGCUGGCGGUAGGCCUAACACAUGCAAGUCGAACGGCAGCACAGUAAGAGCUUGCUCUUACGGGUGGCGAGUGGCGGACGGGUGAGGAAUACAUCGGAAUCUUCUUUUUCGGGGGGGAUUACGUAGGGAAACUUACGCUAAUACCGCAUAUGACCUACGGGUGAAAGCAGGGGUUCUUCGGACUUUGCGCGUCUGAAUGAGCUGAUGUCGGAUUAGCUAGUUGGCGGGGUAAAGGCCCACCAAGGCGACGCUGCGUAGCUGAUCUGAGAGGGUGAUCGGCCACACUGGAACUGAGACACGGUCCAGACUCCUACGGGAGGCAGCAGUGGGGAAUAUUGGACAAUGGGCGCAAGCCUGAUCCAGCCAUACCGCGUGAGUGAAGAAGGCCUUCGGGUUGUAAAGCCCUUUUGUUAGGAAAGAAAAGCAGCAGGUGAAUACCCCGCUGUUCUGACGGUACCCAAAGAAUAAGCACCGGCUAACUUCGUG
rnacentral:rRNA from 1 species